rnacentral:rRNA from 1 species
UACGUAGGGGCAAGCGUUGUCCGGAUUUAUUGGGCGUAAAGAGCGUGUAGGCGGCCAGGUAGGUCUGCUGUGAAAACUCGAGGCUUAACCUCGAGAUGUCGGCGGAAACCAUCUGGCUAGAGUCCGGAAGAGGAGAGCGGAAUUCCUGGUGUAGCGGUGAAAUGCGCAGAUAUCAGGAGGAACACCCGUGGCGAAGGCGGCUCUCUGGGACGGUACUGACGCUGAGACGCGAA